rnacentral:piRNA from 1 species
UAAAAGGGCUAGAGCUAGGUUCAAUGUAC